UACGGAGGGUGCAAGCGUUUGUCCGGAUUUAUUGGGUUUAAAGGGUGCGUAGGCGGCUUUUUAAGUCAGUGGUGAAAUACAGCAGCUCAACUGUUGAGGUGCCAUUGAUACUGAGAGGCUUGAGUACAGAUGAGGUAGGCGGAAUUUAUGGUGUAGCGGUGAAAUGCAUAGAUACCAUAAAGAACACCGAUUGCGAAGGCAGCUUACUAGCUGUAACUGACGCUGAGGCACGAAAGCGUGGGGAGCGAACAGG
rnacentral:rRNA from 1 species